rnacentral:lncRNA from 1 species
GUGCGCAGGCGCUUGCGGCUUCGCGGGGCUGACCGUGCGCUUCGCCUGCGGGGUCGUGCUGGGGCGGCGGGUACGCUAUUUGAAGAACAGGUUUCCAUGCUCUUAGAGGAGCAUCAGAAAAUGAACAAACCCCAGAAGUCCAGAAAUUAAGAGACCUGAUAAAGGGAAGCCAGGAAAAUCGAGAUGCAUAUUUGUGGUACACUUCAGUUCUCAGUAACAACACACUGACUAAGAAGAGGGAAUACGUUUUUGGGAAAAACCUUAAUCUGGGUGCAAACCCAGUUUCUUCAAGAAAAAUAGCCUGUUAGUAUGACUCAUGUGGAAUGAGUUUGAAUACGUUUCAGAAUCAAGUAUUAGUGAUAAAAAUUAUGCCAGUAAUAACACUGAUGAAAUUAAUAUAAGUGAGAAGUUGCCUUUUGAUAGUAAUCAGGAAAACACUCAUACUGGGAAGAAAUCUGUUGUAUAUAACCAAAGUGGGAAGUCACCAAGUCAUAGUGAGGACCUUAUUAAGGAACAGGAAAUUCAAGCUUUA